UACGAGGGGCUAGCGUUGUUCGGAGUUACUGGGCGUAAAGAGCGCGCAGGCGGUCGGAUAAGUCGAAUGUGAAAGCCCCCGGCUCAACUGGGGAGGGUCAUUCGAUACUGUUCGACUCGAAGGCAGGAGAGGGAAGUGGAAUUCCCGGUGUAGUGGUGAAAUGCGUAGAUAUCGGGAGGAACACCAGUGGCGAAGGCGGUUGCCUGGGGCUUUGCUGACGCUGAGGCGCGAAAGCGUGGGA
rnacentral:rRNA from 1 species